AUGUUUCCAGGAAAGGGUCCAAAAAGACACGGCCAUGCUUUAGCCGUGGCUGGAGACGUUGCCUUUCUUUUCGGAGGUGCCUGCAGCAUCAGUCAAGAGGAGGGCAGUGUUGUUUACUUCAGUGACUUCUACAUGCUAACAGUGACUCCUGAAGAUGUGACCUGGGAGGAGAUUCCUCAGAGCGGCGACGUUCCCUCGGCCAGAGAAGGGCACACUCUGUGUGUUGUGAAAGGAAGGCUGUAUCUGUUUGGAGGAGCGUCCAGUCCUGAAGCCACUGAGUGUCUCCCAGGAGUCUACAGCUUUGAUAUAGUGACUCUGACCUGGGAGUGCUUAGCGGUUGGGGGUGUGGCCCUCAGAGCUCUAAGACACUGCUCUGCUGCUGCUGGCGAAAACAUCUACGUGUACGGAGGUGCUGUGGAGGGGAAUCCAACUGAUGACCUCGUGGUGUUCAACACAGUGUCUCUCACCUGGACACCGGUCAAAACGAGUGGAUCUCUGCCUCCUGCCCUAUGGGGUCAGAGUUGUGCUCUGGUUGGAGAUCAGGUGUUCAUGUUUGGAGGUUAUGGAGCAGGAGGAGACUUCUGUAAAGACCUCUAUGUUCUCAAUACAGAGAACCUGCAGUGGCAGAAAAUGGAGGUGAAAGGAGAAUCACCUGCAGCCUGCAGCGGACAAACACUGACUGCACACCAUGAUAAAGACAUCUACCUGUUUGGUGGCAAAAGCACCAAUGAGGAUGGCACAGUGACGUCGUCCAGUGAAAUCCACAAGCUCAGUAUUGCGAAGACGAAGUGGAAGGUCCCGCUCUACGUCGGGAUUCCUCCGACACGUCGGCAUGGACACACCGCCUUCAUCCUUCACAGCCAUCUGUAUGUGUUUGGAGGGAAGAACGAAGAGCAGAAUUUCAAUGACCUAAAGGUGAUGAAGCUCAUUAACCCAUCAGAGAGGCAACCAGUGAUGAAGGAGAUUCUGUCAGAGUUUGGUCUCCAGGGUAUCAGCCACAGCUUCACUCCCACAAAAGUUCCCAACGUCCGCUACGAGCUGAGCGAGGCAGCUCCAUCCGUCCAGCAGAAGAACACGAUGGUGAAUCCACAGGUGUUUGUCCACAGAGACUUCAGCGCAGUGCGUGAUCAGGCAAUGACAAUGAUCCAAACAGCAUUCACACUGCUGGACCAGGAGUUCCACAAACUAGAUCGAGAGAAGUCAGAGCUGACUAAAGCUGCAGCUGCUCUGCAAAGAGAGAAAGAUGCUCAUGAAGCACAUAGACAACAACAACAACAGGAGCUGCAGGAGAUGCUGGACAGACAUCGCUCUCAGAAUGAAGCUUGGCUUCGAGCGAGAGCUGAGGAGAAUGACCGAGAGAGGAGGGAGCUCUGCAGACUCAGAGAGGAGGUGUUACAGGAGCAGGAGAGACUGAAGGAGGAGCAGAGCAACAUCCAGAAACGCAGCGAACACCUGCUCUCCAUCAUGCAGCAGUUCAAAGGAAUGUGAGAUAGAUGGAUAGAUUGAUGGAAAGAGAGAAAUAAACA